rnacentral:pre_miRNA from 1 species
GCUGGGCUCACAAAGUGGUUGUGAAAUGCAUUUCCAUUUUGCCCGCAUAUCACAGCCAGCUUUGAUGAGCUUAGC